rnacentral:rRNA from 1 species
AUUGAACACUGGCGGCAGGCCUAACACAUGCAAGUCGAACGAUUGGCGGACGGGUGAGUAAUGUCUGGGAAACUGCCUGAUGGAGGGGGAUAACUACUGGAAACGGUAGCUAAUACCGGAUGCCUGAGGAUGAGCCCGCGUUGGAUUAGGUAGUUGGUGGGGUAAAGGCCUACCAAGCCGACGAUCCAUAGCUGGUCUGAGAGGAUGAUCAGCCACACUGGGACUGAGACACGGCCCAGACUCCUACGGGAGGCAGCAGUGGGGAAUAGUGGACAAUGGGCGAAAGCCUGAGCCAGCAAUGCGCGUGAGUGAUGAAGGCCCUAGGGUUGUAAAGCUCUUUUACCCGGGAAGCUGUACCGGGAGAAUAAGCCCCGGCUAACUCCGUGCCAGCAGCCGCGGUAAUUC